AUUGAACGCUGGCGGAAUGCUUUACACAUGCAAGUCGAACGGCAGCACGGGGGCAACCCUGGUGGCGAGUGGCGAACGGGUGAGUAAUACAUCGGAACGUGCCCGGUCGUGGGGGAUAACGUAGCGAAAGUUACGCUAAUACCGCAUACGAUCUGAGGAUGAAAGCGGGGGACCUUCGGGCCUCGCGCGAUCGGAGCGGCCGAUGUCAGAUUAGGUAGUUGGUGGGGUAAAGGCCUACCAGGCCGACGAUCUGUAGCUGGUCUGAGAGGACGACCAGCCACACUGGGACUGAGACACGGCCCAGACUCCUACGGGAGGCAGCAGUGGGGAAUUUUGGACAAUGGGCGCAAGCCUGAUCCAGCCAUUCCGCGUGCAGGACGAAGGCCUUCGGGUUGUAAACUGCUUUUGUAUGGAACGAAAAGGCUCUGGCUAAUACCUGGGGCUCAUGACGGUACCGUAAGAAUAAGCACCGGCUAACUACGU
rnacentral:rRNA from 1 species